CUCUGCUUUGCCUUGUCUUCCCGAGUAGCUGCUCCAUUCCCGGCAUAGAGGAUCAGGAGAGGGGACGCCACCUGCCACACGCUGGAUGCUGGGGUCCGCACGACUGCGGCUUGUGUCGCUGUGGUUGGUGGUGGUGAUGGAAACUGCAGCGUGGCUGGAGUGAAGGCUGAAGAAGUGCACAUGUCCAAUCAAGAAUAUUAAGGAAGAGUGAAUUGGAGAAAGUACAAAAUUGAACAUACAACACAUUCACACAGACUGGCUAAUGAGACCCCACACUGAAGAAGCCUAGAACUUCCACAGACUCCCUGAAAUCUAAGUCCUCAUUUUUAACAUACAGCUUUUAAUACUAGCUUCAGAAGUCCCGGAUCCCUGCAAAGCAACAAUGAACCAUUUCUUGAUUGGAUUGUGAUGUGACGAAAAGUGGAUUUUAUACGACAACCGGCAAUGACCAGCUCAGUGGUUGGACCAAGAAGACGCUCCAAGGCACUUCCCAAAGCCAAACUUGCACCAAAAAAGGUUAUGGUCACUAUUUGGUGGUCGUCGGCUCGUCUGAUCCACUGCAGCUUUCUGAAUGCCAGUGAAACCAUUGCCUCUGAGGAGUGUACUCAGCAAAUUGAUGACAUGCACUGAAAACUCCAGCGCCUGCAGGCAGCAUUGAUCAACAGAAAAGCCCAAUUCUUCUUCAUGACAGCACCUGACCACAUGUCACACAACUCACGCUUUAAAAGUUGAACAAAUUGGGCUACGAAGUUUCACCUCAUCUGCCGUAUUCACCUGAUCUCUCGCCAACUGACUACUACUUAUUCGAGCAUCUUGACAACUCUUUGCAGGGAAAAUGCUUUCAGGACCAGCAGGAUGCAGAAAAUGCUUUCAAGAGUUUAUUGAAUCCUGAAGAAUGGAUUUUUACACUAUAGAAAUAAACAGACUGGGCGCAGUGGCUCACGCCUGUAAUCUCAGCACUUUGGGAGGCCAAGGCAGCCAGAUCACCUGAGGUGAGGAGUGCGAGACCAGCAUGACCAACAUGGAGAAACCCCGUCUCUACUAAAAAUACAAAAUUAGCCAGGCGUGGUGGUGCAUGCCUGUAAUCCCAGCUACUUGGGAGGCUGAGGAAGGAGAAUCACUUGAACCCAGGAGGCGGAGGUUGUGAGCUGAGAUUGCACCACUGCAUUCCAGCCUGGGCAGCAAGAGUGAAAGUCCAUCUCAGAGAGGAAAAAAAAAAAAAAAGGAAAAAGAAAAGAAAAAAAAAAACUUAUUUCUCAUUGACAAAAAUGUGUUGGUUGUAAUGGUUCCUAUUUUGAUUAAUAAAGAUGUUUGAGCCUAGUUAUAAUGAUUUAAAAUUCACAGUCCAAACUGCUGUUACUUUUGCACCAACCUAAAAAUACUUGUAUACGUGUGAAACAUGCCAGACUUCCAAGACAGGAGAUGUGUGACAGAUGUGAAGGGAUUUCUUGGGAGGUGUUUAGGAAGCCUUUGGAAGCAGUUCUUAUCUCAGACAUGCAAGCACGAGCCUCCUCUUUUGUGCAUUCCCAGCCCUGUUUUGUCAGCGUCUGAAAAGAGUGAUUCCAUCCUGGUAUGUGCAAUUCUCACAGCUUGUAUAGAUAAAAUUUUGCAACUGUGCAAAUAUUUCCGCAGAGUAAAUAUCUAGGAAUAGAAGAAGUAGUUCAAAAAGUAAACACAUUUGAAAUUCUAAUAACUAUUGUCAACAGCCCUCCUCAGUGCUGGUACUAAUUACACUUCUAAGAGCUGUGUAUGAUGGGAGCUGUUUUCCCUCACCCUCACCAGAAGUACUUUUUUAUAUUUUUCAGUUUUCCUACUUGAUAAGUGAGCAGUGAUUUCUUAGUAUUGUUUUAAUUUGAAUUUUUUUUAUUAUGAGCAAAGUCGAGCAUCUUUUCUGAUGAUUAAAAUGCUGUUGUAUUUCCUUUUCUGUUAACUGUUGUUCUGGUCAUUUUUUCUAUUGGAUUGUUGGUUUUUUCCUUAUGGAUUUCUAGAGGAACACUGUUUUACUCAUAGUUCGUCUUUUGACAUUAUUUAUAGUGUUUUCAUCAUAUAGGCUUACUUUUUUUUUUGAAUCAGGGUCUUACUCUGUUGCCCUAGAUGGAAUGCAAUGGCACAAUCAUGGGUCAUUGCAACCUCCUAUCUCCCAGGCUCAAGUAAUCCUCCUGCCUCAGCCUCUCAAGCAGCUGGGAAUACAGGUGUGGGCCACCACGCCCAGCUAAUUGUUAUAUUUUUUGUUUGUAGAUACGGAGCUUCACCGUGUUUCCCAGGCUAGUCUCACAAUCCUGGGCACAAGUGUUUCACCCACCUCAGCCACCCAAAGUGCUGGGAUUAUAGAUGUGAACCACUGUGCCCAGCCAACAAUUUUUAUAAUGACCUCUGGAUUGUAUAUCAUGCAGUUGGCCCUCUGUAUCUGUGGGUUCUGCAUCCAAACUAUGGAUUGAAAAUAUUCCAAAAAAUCAAACAAUAAAAAUAACGCAAAUUUUAAAACAAUACAUUAUAACAACUAUUUACAUAGUACUUACACCAUAUUAGGUAUUAGAAGUAAUCCUUAUAAGUACAGAGAUGAUUUAAUGUUCAUAGGUUAUAUGCAAAUAUUGCACCAUUUUAUAUAAGAGAUUUGAGGCUGGGCACGGUGGCUCACGCCUGUAAUCACAGCACCUUGGGAGGCUGAGGUGGGUGGAUCACGAGGUCAGGAGAUUGAGAACAUCCUGGCUAACACAGUGAAACCCUGUCUCUUCCAAAAAAAAAAAAAAAUUACAAAAAAUUAGCCGGGCGUGGUGGCGGGCACCUGUAAGCCCAGCUACUUGGGAGGCUGAGGCAGGAGAAUGGCGUGAACCCGGGAGGCAGAGCUUGCAGUGUGCUGAGAUUGCGCCGCUGCACUCCAGCCUGGGCGACAGCGAGACUCUGACAUAUAUAUAUAUAUAUUUGAGCAUCAUGGACUUUAGUAUCUGAGGGAGAUCCUGGAACAAAUGUGCCACGUACACAGAGGAACAACUGUAAUCAGAAAGGCUUUUCCCAUUUGCUAUGGUUUGAAUGUAUCUCUCAAAGUUCAUGUGUUGGAAACUUAAUCCCCGAUGCAAGUGUCGAGAAGUGGGACUUUUAAGAGGUGAUCAGGCUAUGAUGAGUCUGCCCUCAUGAGUGGAUUAAUAGUGUCGUUUUGGGAUGAGUUCCUGAUAAAUAGAUGAGUUCACCUCCUUCCUCUCAUACUCUCUCAUGUGUGCUUUUGUGCCUUUCUGUCCUUCUACCAUGGGAUGACACAGGAAGAAGGUCCUAGCCAGAUGCAGCCCCCUGAUCUUGGACUUCCAAGCCUUCAGAAGCAUGAGCCAAAUACAUUUCUGUCUAUUAUAAAUUAUCUUUUUUUCACUGAUUUUAGAUGAAAUUUUUACUGUAAAUUCUUGUAUGUAUUUGGGUGUAUUUCUCUGGACUUUUUGAUAACAUGUUUCUCCUGUUUAUAAUUAUAGCAACUUUAUGUUUUAAUAUUUGCACUUCUUUUUCAAAGUUUUCCUAAUAUUCUUGUUUGCUUUUCAACAUGAAUAUUAAAAGUAGUUUAAUAAAUGAAACAAUAACAACAAAACAAUAAUACCUAUUGGCAUUUAAUUUACGAAUGAACUAAGGAAGAAUUGCC
rnacentral:lncRNA from 1 species